CUGAUUGAAUUGAAGGGCCGCAGUAUUUUAACUGUGCAAAGGUAGCAUAAUCAUUAGUUUUUUAAUUGAAAGCUUGUAUGAAUGAUUGGACGAGAUGUAAGCUGUCUCAUUUGAAAAUAUAGAAUUUUAUUUUUUAGUUAAAAAGCUGAAAUUGAUUUAAAAGACGAGAAGACCCUAUAGAUCUUUAUAAUAGCUAUAUUUUUAUUGUAUGAGGAUUAUUUUAUUAAUAUAAAUAUAAUUAUUAUUUUAUUGGGGUGAUAUUGAAAUUUAAUUAACUUUCAAUUAUUAUUGAAACAUUAAUUUAUGAAUUUAUUGAUCCAUUAUUAAUGAUUAAAAAUUUAAGUUACCUUAGGGAUAACAGCGUAAUUAUUUUGGAGAGUUCUUAUCGAUAAAAUAGAUUGCGACCUCGAUGUUGGAUUAAGAUAAAUCUUAGGCGCAGCCGUUUAAGGUAUUAAGUCUGUUCGACUUUUAAUUUCUUACAUGAUCUGAG
rnacentral:rRNA from 1 species